GGCGCUGUGGCUCAAAGUGGUAGAGCGCUUGCCUUGUGUGCAAGAGCUCGGGGACAGCGCCC
rnacentral:tRNA from 1 species